GCGGAGGAAAAGAAACCAACAGGGAUUGCCCUAGUAACGGCGAGUGAAGCGGCAACAGCUCAAAUUUGAAAUCUGGCGUCUUCGGCGUCCGAGUUGUAAUUUGCAGAGGGCGCUUUGGCAUUGGCAGCGGUCCAAGUUCCUUGGAACAGGACGUCACAGAGGGUGAGAAUCCCGUACGUGGUCGCUAGCCUUUACCGUGUAAAGCCCCUUCGACGAGUCGAGUUGUUUGGGAAUGCAGCUCUAAAUGGGAGGUAAAUUUCUUCUAAAGCUAAAUACUGGCCAGAGACCGAUAGCGCACAAGUAGAGUGAUCGAAAGAUGAAAAGCACUUUGGAAAGAGAGUUAAAAAGCACGUGAAAUUGUUGAAAGGGAAGCGCUUGCAGCCAGACUUGCCUGUAGUUGCUCAUCCGGGUUUCUACCCGGUGCACUCUUCUACGGGCAGGCCAGCAUCAGUUUGGGCGGUUGGAUAAAGGUCUCUGUCAUGUACCUCUCUUCGGGGAGAACUUAUAGGGGAGACGACAUGCAACCAGCCUGGACUGAGGUCCGCGCAUCUGCUAGGAUGCUGGCGUAAUGGCUGUAAGCGGCCCGUCUUGAAACACGGACCAAGGAGUCUAACAUCUAUGCGAGUGUUUGGGUGUCAAGCCCGAGCGCGUAAUGAAAGUGAACGGAGGUGGGAACCCUUCGGGGUGCACCAUCGACCGAUCCUGAUGUCUUCGGAUGGAUUUGAGUAAGAGCAUAGCUGUUGGGACCCGAAAGAUGGUGAACUAUGCUUGAAUAGGGUGAAGCCAGAGGAAACUCUGGUGGAGGCUCGCAGCGGUUCUGACGUGCAAAUCGAUCGUCAAAUUUGGGCA
rnacentral:sRNA from 1 species